CUGAAAUAACCGAAAACUCUCAGGUUUGGGUUUUACUUCAUAGCGUUCAAGUCUCCCGUUUUGGACAGGAAACUACCAUAUUUUACCCCUCUUUUCCCGCCGUCCUCUCGUAUUAGUAUUUCCCAAUAAGUUUAGCAUAUUAUAAAACGCUAAUUUUUUAAAAACGCCGCUGUGCCUCUCCACUCUGAGUCCAACCUCUAGCCUCGCGAGACAGAACUGCCACCUGCAGUAGCCUGGGCGGCGGUUUGCUCAAAGUUAGCAAGGACAGCGGGAACAACAAUGUUGAAAAGCUUUUCCUGACAUCCUCCAAACAACCGGAACGACGGUGGCGUCCAUGUUGGUCCUGCAACCAGAUGGGGGCCUGUUUGAUUCCCGCUCUGCCUCUGUCUUGACACUUCAGAGGGCCCAGAAGGUGGCGCUGAGCCUGGAGCAGCUCAGGACAGAUUUCUAUCAGCCACAAUCAGAUGCCAUUUAUGCAGAAAGAAGAUCUCCGGUGAGCUGGGUGCCACCACAGCUUUUCUAGAUCCAUGCGCUCAGAUCCAAGACUUUGCUCCACCCAUUAUGUUGGCGCACACAAAGACCUGAACUCCUCGCAAAACUCACAGCACACAGAACCCGUCUCCUUCCUGGACAGUGUGAUGGAUGGACAUUCCCAUGCUACUCAUCCCUGCCUGUAGCCAUGACCUCCAGACAUCUGGGAAUCGGACUCAGAGACGAACCAGAAUUGAAAAGCUUCAUAGUUCUGUUAUCUUGGCUGAUUUCUGUUGACCAAUAUGAACCGGUUGUCUCUCCUUCCCGUAUAAAUAUUGCCACCUUCCUAUUUUUUUUUUUUUUUGUCAAGUAGUGAUUUAGGGUUUUAUUUUAGGAUUGUGACAAUAUAAUGUCAUUAAACCUGCUAUUAAGAAAAACUUCUUGGACUUCUCUCAGCUAAUUAAUUACUAGCCUGUAUCUAAGUUACAGCUAUUUAAAAACAUCUUACAAGGGAAACCCCACUAAUUUCUUCAGGAUCAAUGCAAAAUGUUUAAUAAAUACCAAUCUGGUUUUCAUAAAAUGCAUUCAACAGAUUCCUUUAGCUUAGCUUAAAGCAUCCAGUGACACCAUGAUGGCAGCAAUCACUGUGAAAGUUACUGUUUGAGUCUUGUUAGGUACUUUAGAAGCCUUUGACAUUGGGUUAGGGUUAGUUUAGUCAAAAUAUUUGGAGCUAUUUUCAGAGCCUUCAGGUUCCAUGUAAACCCUGUUUAAAAGUACGUAACUUUUCUUUAAAUCCAAGUCAAAUCUCAAGAAUUUGAUCCUAAGUCAGAGUCAAGCCUCAAUUCAUUUAUUUUGGUGAUUUCAUUGCGAGUUAGAAACCUCCACAUGUCAGACUCCAACUGGUCUUAACGUGUGAGGGAACCCAUGGCUGUUUUCUGGGCCCACCUGGAAUAUCUUCAGAAUAUCUCCUUAACUUUUAUGCAGAUGACAUCCAGCUGUUCCUUCAACAAUUUGAGAAAAUUGUUGAAGGCAAAGAUCCGGCAAAGAAAACAAAUCACUCUUCAACCAAACUCUGGGAAUACUUAGUAUCCGACCACGUUCCUCUGAUUGGGCAACACAUCCGACCUCUGAAUUAGGGGUGCACCGAUUUGUUGUCCGGCCCAUUUAUUGGUGCAGAUUUCCUUAAUUUUGGGAGAUCGCUCGAUACCUACAUGUGAAGCCGAUCUUAUAUACCUCAGCAAAGCUCUAAAGAUGAACUCUGUCCUCUUCUGUUCUCUCAUUAGAGGUCCGACUGACAGAUCGGCUCACCGGGUCAUAUCUGCACGUUGGCAGUUAACAAUAGUCGCCCCACUGUUGCCAACUUUCUUGUUAUAUUUAGUGGCAUUUCAGACCAAAAAAAAAAGAAAAAGAAAUUGGUAUCGGCCAAAAUCGGAAUCAGCAGGUCGGGCUUUUUAAAGAUCGGUAAUCAUGGAUUGGCCAGAAAACUGCAAUCAAUGCACCGCUAGUCGUAUGGGAGAAAGACAUGUCACCAAGUGGCAACAAUAGCACUUAGCAACAGGUCUGUAAGCUCCUGGAGAUUGAAAAUAUUCCACAUCUUAGGAAAGUGAAGCAGAAAACACAAGACAUCAACCUUCAAAAAUCUUGAAGUAUAAAAAAAGAAACCAACAAAAAAGAAACCAUCUGUAACAUCACUGAGGUGAAACAGCAAAGAAGACAGUAAGAACAAGUAGGAUUCACUGCUGGGGCACAGUGGAUGCAUUUAAUGAGUCAGACAUACAAAAAUAAAUCACGACAAAGCAACACAUGUACUGUACAAAUUAAAAAUCUCAAAGGGAAAAAAAAAUAAAAAAUUAAUUGCUGAGAGGACGAGAAGAGAGAAUGUCCCGGUGGAGACGCGAUGGACGCCACUGCAGGAACACGUGACACACGUCUGACGGGACGGGGUGGAGGGCGACCAGCGAGCUCUAGUGUGACGCCUCCGACACGCACCCCAACAUGGAAAAAAAAAACAAAUUAAAGGGUCGUUUCACAACGUUGAUGAUAUAUAUAUAUAUAUCCAAAAGCAAAACCUCUUAAGAAUUGUACAAGUAUAAAAAAGCUACAAACAUUAAUAAAUUACAUCACUGACACAGAAACACUUCACAAGGUGCUAGUAAAAUAAUUCUGAAACCUUCAGGAUACUAGAAGUCAGACAAGUGGCUGGUCAUAGAAACUUUGUUUUUUUUUUUCUUUUUUCUACAGUUUUUGCUCCUCAAAGCUUCACUUCUCGCUCAAACAGAAUCACAAUACAGUUAGCUUUGUGUAUGUAAGGCCAUAUGACGACAAACAUGUUGGCUAAUUCCUUCUGUUGUUUCCCAAGGCAGCACUGAUGACCGGAGAGGCGGAAAAGGAGGACAAUAUCGGAAAUUCAUAUACAUACAUGGAUACUUUUCAAAUUAAAUUCUAAAAAAAGAAAAAGAAAAGUAAAAAUGUAGAAUUAAGUGAGAGGCAAAAAAAAAAAAAAAAAAGAUA